rnacentral:rRNA from 1 species
UACGUAGGGACCAAGCGUUGUCCGGAAUCAUUGGGCGUAAAGCGCGCGUAGGUGGCUUCGUAAGUCCGUUGUGAAAGUCAAAGGCUCAACCUUUGAAAGCCGAUGGAUACUGCUGAGCUAGAGUACGGAAGAGGCGAGUGGAAUUCCUGGUGUAGCGGUGGAAUGCGCAGAUAUCAGGAAGAACACCCGUGGCGAAGGCGGCUCCUCUGGGACGGUACUGACGCUGAGACGCGAAAGCGUGGGGAGCGAACAGG